GCCGAGAGCAUUGCAAAAGAAAUGUCAGAAAAAUUAAGUGCAGAAAAUAUUAAGAACAAAUGCCUCGCAUUAAACAUGGUGAAAGGGCAACCGUUGAAGG
rnacentral:sRNA from 13 species